rnacentral:tRNA from 1 species
AUCUUUUUAGUAUAAAAAAUAUAUUUGACUUCCAAUCAAAAGAUCUUAAAUAAAGAAAAGAUA